GCCGCCAGCCCGUACGCGACCCCAGGUCAGGCGGGGCU
rnacentral:rRNA from 1 species